GACGAACGCUGGCGGCGUGCUUAACACAUGCAAGUCGAGCGGAAAGGCUCCUUCGGGGGUACUCGAGCGGCGAACGGGUGAGUAACACGUGAGUAAUCUGCCCUUGGCUUUGGGAUAACUACCGGAAACGGUGGCUAAUACCGGAUACGACCACUCCUUGCAUGAGGUGGUGGUGGAAAGUUUUUUCGGCCAGGGAUGUGCUCGCGGCCUAUCAGCUUGUUGGUGGGUAAUGGCCUACCAAGGCUUCGACGGGUAGCCGGCCUGAGAGGGUGACCGGCCACACUGGGACUGAGACACGGCCCAGACUCCUACGGGAGGCAGCAGUGGGGAAUAUUGGACAAUGGGCGGAAGCCUGAUCCAGCAACGCCGCGUGAGGGAUGACGG
rnacentral:rRNA from 1 species